CCUUACACUAAAAUUGACACAAUACAGAGAAGACUGUAUGGCUUCUGAGCAAGAAUGCCAUGAAAAUCAUGAAGCAUUCCAUAUUUUA
rnacentral:snRNA from 1 species